AACGUACUCUAAUAUUCUUUGUUUUAUUUACAGCUUCAAAAAAUAUUUUUACAAUCUAGAAACAUAGCCUAUUGGAGUACAUACAUGUGUACUCCAAUGUGUCAGACUGAACUGCAUUUUUUGCCUAAAUUUAAUUAAAUUAAUUAAAUUUUGACGCUGCUUAUUUACACAAAAACAACGAAUUUAUUUUAAAUAAAAAUAUACGCUUGUAGUUACACAAAUCAAACACCAGAUGUGCGCAAGUGAGCUGCUCUGAAACCCCUCCUUCUGGGCGGACCUUCUGUGUUAAACCCUCCCGCUUCCUCUCAGAUUUCCUCCCAUUUUCUCCCCCUUCUCCAGGCCCCACCCGACCAUCUGCCACAAGGCCGACAUUUCCUGCACUCCAGCUGCCAGGCCGGAGUUUAUUCUAUUCCUGCUUUUCUGGGGAUAACAGGAUGAAAGGAUCCCAUUCAUCCAUCGCCCCCUCCCUCCCUCUUUCCUUUAUUUAAUCUCCCGGGAAACAAGCAAGUUUGAGGCAAAAAGAGAAUGCCGCAUAAACACGCAUGCUGUUCUCGCGCCAAGCGUCCACACGCGGGAAAGAUAUCUGGAUGGCAGACAUGAUGGGGUGAACGGGCCUGAUGAGCCAGAUUGGAGUCUUUAUCAGAUUACAGACCCUAUUAAACGAUCUGCACAGCAGCAGUGCUGGAUGAGUGUCAUCUCACUGCAGCAUUGGAUGUGAUUGUAUCUCAACCUUACCAGAGGUUGAUAAAAUGCCUGGGGUCACAGCCAGAUCAGUCUCUCUCCUCUAAACUGCCGGCCGACUGCUUUAGUCAUCACUUAAACACAUAAUACUGCUUGAGAGUGCAGAUAACCAAUCAGUUAUGAGAACUGGAUAUAGCUGCAAGCUGAUUGGAGGAAGUGUGUGGGAGUCUCCAGGUAAAACAACUCACCCAUGUGAGAAAAACAACAUCCCUACUGUUGUCUCCCCCUUUGUUGAAGUCAGCAACAUUAGAUAGAUGGAUGGAUGGAUGGAUGGAUAGAUAGAUGGAUAGAUAGAUAGAUAUUCUUUAAUCUUUUUUUGAUAAGCAUAGAAAGUCUUCGUCUGAAGUGACGUCUUCAUCUCUGUUAAAUUACAGUCACCCUCAUUAGCCUUUAUGAGAGCAAUCGCAAACAUACGCUUCAGAUUACAUGGCUGUGUGUAAAGCGUGUACAGUGUGGAAUCACACUUCCAUGGAUGUUUAGAGCAGAACCAAAGAGAGAGGCAUCUUAUCUCAUCAUUCUGCCCUUCAUCUGUCAGUCUGUCACAACUCAAUUAGCUUCAGGCUAACCCCACAAAUGGCAUCCAUCACCUCAUCAUCACCUCAUGUUCACAUUCGAAUAUAGAGAAGCC
ensembl:lncRNA